rnacentral:rRNA from 1 species
GACUACAGGGGUAUCUAAUCCCUUUCGCUCCCCUAGCUUUCGUCCCUCAGUGUCAGUACAGGCCCAGUAGAGCGCCUUCGCCACUGGUGUUCUUCCUAAUAUCUACGCAUUUCACCGCUACACUAGGAAUUCCCUCUACCCCUACCGUACUCUAGCCUCACAGUUUCAACUGCUCGUCCGGGGUUAAGCCCCAGCCUUUAACAGCUGACUUGUCAAGCCACCUGCGGACCCUUUACGCCCAAUAAUUCCGGAUAACGCUUGCAUCCUCCGUAUUACCGCGGCUGCUGGCACGGAGUUAGCCGAUGCUUAUUCAAUAGGUACCGUCAGAGCUUCUUCCCUAUUAAAGGCGGUUUACAGUCCACAAACCGUCCUCCCGCACGCGGCGUUGCUCCGUCAGGGUUGCCCCCAUUGCGGAAAAUUCCCCACUGCUGCCUCCCGUAGGAGUCUGGGCCGUGUCUCAGUCCCAAUGUGGCUGAUCAUCCUCUCAGACCAGCUACUGAUCGUCGCCUUGGUAAGCUCUUACCCCACCAACUAGCUAAUCAGACGCGAGCUCAUCCUUAGACCAUAAAUGUUUUACCUCUCGGCUCAUCCGGUAUUAGCAUCAGUUUCCCGAUGUUGUCCCCGUCCUAAGGGCAGAUCCUCACGCGUUACUCACCCGUCCG